GUCGCUUCUCAGCCUUUUGGCUAAGAUCAAGUGUAGUAUCUGUUCUUGGCUUGGGGGGGGGUACAUCCUAGCUAAAGGAUGUAUGGAAGAAUCCUCCUCAUUGUCGGGGCAGAGAGGCACUUGAUCCUGUAGCCAGGAGGCCGGAUUGCAUAUGGAGCCUGAGUUGGUAGUGCCUCAGGCCUUGCAAACCUGUG
ensembl:snRNA U2 U2 spliceosomal RNA